UCCGACUUAACGUCGGCAGUCUGUCUAGAGUGCCCAACUUAAUGCUGGCAACUAAACAUAGGGGUUGCGCUCGUUAUGGGACUUAACCCGACAUCUCACGACACGAGCUGACGACAGCCAUGCAGCACCUGAUACUAGUGUCCCGAAGGCCUACGAUAUCUCUACCGUAUUCACUAGCACUUCAAACCCAGGUAAGGUUUUUCGCGUUGCAUCGAAUUGAACCACAUGCUCCACCGCUUGUGCGGGCCCCCGUCAAUUUCUUUGAGUUUUAAUCUUGCGACCGUACUUCCCAGGCGGGAUACUUAACGCGUUAGCUUCGGCACUGAAGGGGUCAAUACCUCCAACACCAAGUAUCCAUCGUUUACGGUGUGGACUAC
rnacentral:misc_RNA from 1 species